GACGAACGCUGGCGGCGUGCUUAACACAUGCAAGUCGAACGGAGAGGCCCUGCUUUUGUGGGGUGCUCGAGUGGCGAACGGGUGAGUCACACGUGAGUAACCUGCCCUUGAGUGUGGGAUAACUUCAGCAAACUGUGGCUAAUACCGGAUAGGAGCUCCUGCUGGAUGGUUGGGGUUGGAAAGUUUCGGCGGUUGGGGAUGGACUCGCGGCUUAUCGGCUUGUUGGUGGGGUAGUGGCUUACCAAGGCUUUGACGGGUAGCCGCCCUGAGAGGGUGACCGGCCACCAUAGAUCUGUGAUGAGACCCAGACUCCAAUCGGACGCACCGUUGCGGAAUAGAACACAGUGGACUGAAGCCAGAUGUAACAACGCGGCGCGCGGGAUGACGGCCAGCGGGUUGUUAACCGCUGUCGCCUGUGACGAAGCGUGAGUGACGGUAAUGGGUUAAGAAGCACCGGCUAAAUACGUG
rnacentral:rRNA from 1 species